CUGAUGGCGACCGGCGCACGGGUGAGUAACGCGUAUCCAACCUGCCUCAUACUCGGGGAUAGCCUUUCGAAGGAAAGAUUAAUAUCCGAUAGCAUAUAUUUCCCGCAUGGGUUUUAUAUUAAAGAAAUUCGGUAUGAGAUGGGGAUGCGUUCCAUUAGUUUGUUGGGGGGUAACGGCCCACCAAGACUACGAUGGAUAGGGGUUCUGAGAGGAAGGUCCCCCACAUUGGAACUGAGACACGGUCCAA
rnacentral:rRNA from 1 species